GCCGGGAUAGCUCAGUUGGUAGAGCAGACGACUGACCAUCCUCGUGUCACCAGUACAAA
rnacentral:tRNA from 1 species